rnacentral:lncRNA from 1 species
AUGACUCCCGGUGCUAUGAUAAAACCUCAGAUGCACGGCCUUCUGGCCAAGUGUCUGCAAUUUCAUAUUGUAGGAGCAUUCAUUGUAUCCCUGGGGGUAGCAGCUCUUUAUAAGUUUGCUGUAUCUAAACCAGGAAAGAAGGCACAUGAAGAUUUCUACAGAAAUUAUGAUUCCAUGAAAGAUUUUGAGGAGAUGAGAAAGGCUGGUAUAUUUCAGAGUGCAAA